AAAUGCUAAGUUAGUUUCUUCAAAGAGAUCAAAGCAUAGUAGGAGAUAGAGUUCUCUCAUUCUCAUCUCAGAGAGGGAAAACCCUUCUUGAUAUUCCUUGUUUCCAUCUAAGGGAUCAAAAGGGUAAAGGGGAAAAAGGAAAAGAGAGAAAGGGAGAGAGAGGUUUGUGCUGUUGUUGAGUAAACAAAAGAUAAAUAUGACUGUGGAAGAGGGAAGGGUCGUUAGUGAGGAAUACACACAAGAUGGAACCGUGAAUCUUAAGGGGAAACCUAUUCUUAGAUCCAAAAGUGGUGGUUGGAAAGCUUGCUCCUUUGUAGUUGUGUACGAGAUAUUCGAAAGGAUGGCUUAUUAUGGGAUAUCAUCAAAUUUGAUCCUGUAUCUGACAAAAAAGCUUCACCAAGGCACAGUAACCUCUGCAAAUAAUGUCACUAAUUGGGUUGGCACCAUUUGGAUUACACCCAUAUUAGGUGCCUACGUUGCUGACGCUCACUUAGGCCGCUAUUGGACAUUUGUCAUUGCCUCUACCAUUUAUCUCUCGGGUAUGUCUCUGCUUACACUAGCAGUGUCCCUUCCUAGCCUAAAGCCACCUCAAUGCUCUGUAGCGGAUGUGACAAAAUGCAAGAAAGCCUCCACGCUACAGCUAGCUGUGUUCUAUGGUGCACUUUACACUCUAGCUGUGGGAACUGGUGGAACUAAGCCCAACAUCUCCACCAUUGGAGCUGACCAAUUUGAUGAUUUUCACCCUAAAGAGAAGUCACAUAAGCUCUCCUUCUUCAAUUGGUGGAUGUUCAGCAUCUUCUUUGGAACCCUCUUUGCAAACACUGUUCUAGUGUAUAUCCAAGAUAAUGUGGGAUGGACUCUUGGGUAUGCUCUUCCAACUCUUGGUCUUGCAGUAUCAAUCAUGAUAUUCUUGGCAGGCACACCCUUCUAUAGACACAAAUUGCCUGCAGGGAGUACCUUCACUAGAAUGGCUAGGGUCAUAGUUGCUGCUUUAAGGAAAUGGGAAGUGCCUAUUCCUCGUGACCCUAAAGAAUUAUUUGAACUUGAUAUGGAAGGGUAUGCAAAGAAAGGCAGUUACAGAAUUGAUAGCACUCCAACAUUGAGGUUCCUCGACAAGGCCUGUGUCAAAACAGAUUCAAGUACUAGUCCAUGGAUGCUAUGCACUGUUACCCAAGUAGAGGAGACAAAACAAAUGCUAAGGAUGAUUCCCAUCUUGGUUGCUACAUUUGUUCCUAGUACAAUGAUGGCUCAGAUAAAUACCCUUUUUGUAAAGCAAGGAACUACCCUUGACAGACACAUUGGGAGCUUCAAAAUUCCCGCAGCAAGUUUAGCUGCAUUUGUUACUUUGUCCUUGCUUAUCUGUGUUGUGCUCUAUGACCGUUUCUUUGUCAAGAUUAUGCAGAGGUUUACCAAGAACCCCAGAGGGAUUACACUUCUUCAAAGAAUGGGAAUUGGUCUUGUAAUUCACACAAUGAUUAUGAUAAUUGCAUCUGGUACUGAAAGUUAUAGACUUAGAGUGGCAAGAGAACAUGGGUUGGUUGAAAGUGGAGGACAGGUUCCUUUGAGCAUAUUCAUUUUGCUUCCUCAGUUUAUAAUUAUGGGAACAGCUGAUGCUUUCUUAGAGGUUGCAAAAAUUGAGUUUUUCUAUGACCAGGCACCAGAAAACAUGAAGAGCCUUGGGACUUCAUAUUCCUCAACUACCUUAGCCUUUGGCAAUUUCAUAAGUUCCUUUCUUCUCACAACCGUAUCACACAUCACUAAGGAACAUGGUCACAAAGGGUGGAUUUUGAACAAUCUCAAUGAUUCUCGUCUUGAUUACUACUAUGCAUUCUUCGCAGUACUAAACUUCCUGAACCUCAUCUUCUUCGUGAUUGUCUCAAGAUUCUAUGUAUAUAAGGCUGAAGUUUCAGAUUCCAUAGAAGUGCUAGCAAAAGAACUGAAGGAAAAGAAAGAGUCUUAUCUAACGGAAGAAGAUUAGGAUAUAUGAAUUUCAAAACUGCUAUACUUAGAACUUUGGAUUGCCAAAGAACUAUAUUUAUAAUAUAUAGGUUUUGGUACUUGGAUUAGCGCGUGAUCAUUUUUCCUUAUCCUGUGCGGCUGUUGAGAAAUGGCACGCGCGUCUCGAAAGGAAUGUAACCUCUUUGAAGGAUCCAUUAUAUCAGUUUGUGUUACUUCUUCAAUUUUCCCUUCCACCUGCAAUAAAAAGAAAAAUCUCCCCGUUAAACCCGAUCAGCGAGUGUGGGGUGGAGGUAAUCCUUGUACGCAGCAUUACCCUUGCAUAAUUGCAAAGAAGCUAUUUCCUGGAUUCGAACAUUGGUACAAUUACUAUAUUAUUUGGAGUUAGUGAGAGUGAAGGCUCAGUCAUCAUGCUUGCAACGUAUGCCUGUGCCUCAGUUUAACUCACUCUAUGGUG